rnacentral:rRNA from 1 species
AUUGAACGCUGGCGGCAGGCCUAACACAUGCAAGUCGAGCGGAUGAAGGGAGCUUGCUCCUGGAUUCAGCGGCGGACGGGUGAGUAAUGCCUAGGAAUCUGCCUGGUAGUGGGGGAUAACGUCCGGAAACGGGCGCUAAUACCGCAUACGUCCUGAGGGUGAAAGUGGGGGUUCUUCGGACCUCACGCUAUCAGAUGAGCCUAGGUCGGAUUAGCUAGUUGGUGGGGUAAAGGCCUACCAAGGCGACGAUCCGUAACUGGUCUGAGAGGAUGAUCAGUCACACUGGAACUGAGACACGGUCAAGACUCCUACGGGAGGCAGCAGUGGGGAAUAUUGGACAAUGGGCGAAAGCAUGAUACAGCCAAGCCGCGUGUGUGAAGAAGGUCUUCGGAUUGUAAAGCACUUUAAGUUGGGAGGAAGGGCAGUAAGUUAAUACCUUGCUGUUUUGACGUUACCAACAGAAUAAGCACCGGCUAACUUCGUG